ensembl:snoRNA
UAACAUUUCAAAAUGUUUUUGGUGGCGGGUAUGGGCUUCCAUAAAUGUUGAAUGGCUAUAAAUUCUAGUGGAAACCUAAAAGCACAGCUUUUUACUUCUCACACAAGCUUAAGUAGCUAAGAAUUUUCGUGGCGUUCCUUUAUGUCAUUUCUAUGACAGAU